ensembl:lncRNA
AUGUCAGGGUUUCAGUCACACUCUGAGGUGACGGGCUGGUCUGUGACUGUGCCAUUCACUGUGGGGUUGGCACAGAGGCUGGUCCCUGUCAGCGAUUGGUGGUUAGCGCUGCCAGUCAUCCGAUUUGCGGCCGACGAUUGGUCCGUCAGAAAAAAGGGGCGGUGCAUCGGCGCUCACCACACGGCGGCGGGCCGUUCUCCUCUCGAUGGUCCCGGCACAACAUGGCGGUCGCCGGCCGAGCCGGACCUUGAGCGCUGCGUCCCUCGUUCCGCCCGCGGGGCCGAGGCCGCCGGGGACACAGCUCGGCCCGGCCCUCCAUGCACGGAAGCUGUUGUGAAAGAAACCAACUAUGAAGGGUCCGAGGAGUUCGUGCUGCCUGUUCCCACAAUUACUAACAAGUAAGUGCUAUGUGAUACCACAGGUUGGAGAUAGACUUGGCUUCUAUUAAUGACAGUUGUCACACAGGUGUGAGGAACUCUUUAAUAAUUGCAGACAGAUCUCGGGGAUGAUGGACUGCUGCUCUCUGCUCCUUGGUGCAUCCCUGCUCAACCUUCAGCUUCACAAGAAAUUCUCAAAGAACUGAUGGAGGAAUCCUUAGAAACAAACAACUGGAAGUAUGAUUCAACCGCCCUUGGGGUUUUUGUCCCCUUCAGACCUGAGCUGUGAAUAUGAACCUUUAGAGUGCUGUUACUCUGAAGAACCUCAAGGAGCGGUAAGUGAGGGUGGUCAUUCUUUGUAAUGCUUUUAAUGGAGGAGGGCCUGGGAGGUGGAGGUGCUUUGACUUACAGAACCAAGAAAUGUGAUGCUUGAUUCCAGUGUGCCCUUGUAGCCAAAAAAGCCAAUGGCAUACUGGGGUGUAUUAAAAAGAGCGUGUCCAGCAGGUUGAAGGAGGUGAUCCUCCCCCUCUACUCUGCCCUGGUGAGGCCUCAUCUGGAGCACUAUGUCCAGUUCUGGGCUCCCCAGUACAAAAAAGACAUGGAUCUCUUGGAAAGAGUCCAGCGGAGGGCCACAGAGAUGGUGAAGGGCCUGGAGCAUCUCCCCUAUGAGAAGAGACUUAGGGAACUGGGUCUGUUUAGCCUUGAAAAAAGAAGGCUGAGAGGGGACUUGAUCCAGGUUUAUAAAUACCUGAGGUGUGGGAGCCAUAGUGGUGAGUCCGGUCUCUUUUCAGUAGUGCGUGGGGAUAGGACUAGGGGUAAUGGGAUGAAAGUACAGCAUAGGAAGUUCCGCACAAAUGUGCAGAAGAACUUCUUUACAGUGAGGGUGACGGAGCACUGGAACAGGCUGCCCAGGGAGGUGGUGGAGUCUCGAGUCUCCUUCUCUGGAGAUAUUUAAGACCCGCCUGGAUGCCUACCUGUGUGACGUGGUGUAGGGAGCCUGCUUUGGCAGGAGAGUUGGACUCGAUGAUCUCUAGAGGUCCCUUCCAACCCCUACAAUUCUGUGAUUCUGUGAUGCAAGUUGUUUGUAGGAACAUGAGCAAACUCACCUUGUGGAAAAGCCAUAUUGAUGUCUCAUCUGUGUCAAAGAGUUCUUUCCUUUGUCGAAUCUGAAUUGAUCCUAGCGAUAGGCCACACAGCCAUCCAAUGUGUUAUGUGGGUUUCAUCUGUGCAGGUGAUCCACUGGCAAGAGAAGCCUUAAUGAAUGUCAGUUGGGAAGUCCUUUGUCCCUUUGAAAUGACACCAGCAGACUCAUUGUAUUGCAGAGAGCGUGGGGGGAUGUUCACCCAGGUGUCUUCAAGAAUGAAUAGUAUAGCUCUAGUCUAGUGGCUGGCUGUUAUUAAGGACUCAAUGAGCAUCUAGAGUUUUCCAUAUGAGCACUGAUGAACCAAGAGGAGGUUUGUGUGCUUGUCUUAGGGGUGGGGAAGAGGUAUGGGAGGUUUGCAUGCCCUGGUCUAGGUGGAAGAAAACCUUUGCUGUGCCCAGCUAUUGCAUUACAGUAAGAUAUGAAGACAGAAGGGAGCUGCAGCAGAGUGGCUGGCUGCAAGCAACAAGCCAGUCAGUGCAGAGCAGGUAGUGGAGGAAGCAGCAGGGUCUCAUGCAGCAGGUCCAGGAGAGUCUUGGCAGCAGCAAGGGUUCUAAAGCCAGAUACCUCUCUUGUUCUUCAGCAUGCAGGUGUCAGGUAGUGAGGAAUCACUUUUGCAUCCUAGAAUAGUUUCUGGUUUCACGAGAUUUUUCUAGCAUGUAAAUAUAGCUUUAUAAUGUACAUUCUUGAUUGUUUUUAAUUUGAGUUUCUAUCUGUUGUUAAUUGUAGAUACCCAUUUUGGAAACAUAUGAGCUUUGUUAAGAAAAUAUACCGAGAUGGCUGACCAGUGUGCCCAAUAAUGCUGAAAGCAGGAGUGAUCUCUGCAAGAUACCUGGUGAUACUGGAGAGUGAUUAUGACAGCAGGGAGCGCAGUGCUGGCCAGUACAGUAAGUGGGAGAUGAAUGCAUAAUAGCUAGGGAAGCUGGGCGAGGGACUGCUGCUGGUUGUGGAAGAGAAGCUUUUAGGAGGUUUGUGAUGGUUCUCCUUAGGGUCUGGAGUUUGGACUCCUCGUGUUGAAUGGUGCAAUAAUGAUGGUAAUUGUAAGAAUGGGCUAGUGGGAGUGAAAUGUGCUGACAUGGAAUGCAGGCAGAAGGGAGGGCUGCAGAGCCUCCAGAAACAGUCUAUUGGAAAAUGAUGAUAGACGAGUGGUGAAAGUUUCUGCUUCUGAUCAGUGGCUUGUGAAUGGGCUGUGAGAGAUGGAAGAAAGGAGCCUGGAAAUGCCUGCAGACUGCUAUCCCCAUGUGGCUUUGUAAAAGGCAAAUGGAAUUUUACAGUGUGCCGAAGGACUGCCAUUACAAUGCAGGAAAUAGUGCUCUUGUGAAAUGCCCCACUCAGUUCUGAUUUCAGGUUUGCUGCAGGUAUGGUGCUGGUGGUGCUCCAUGCCUUGCAGGAGGCGAGGAGUAGGUCCUGUUUUCAUGCAGGCACUACUAAGCUAGCAAGAACAAUUGAUGUUGAUGGGUGACUUGAGCCAUUCUGUUCCAGGCAGUGAUUAAAGAAGAUCAAUUCAGGCUUGUCUUCUGUGUUUGUAGCAGAAGAAAGCACAGUUUGUGUCUCUAAUAAAACCGGCCUUUCUGAGAUGUGAAUGAGGCCU